GUGAGGCCCAGCCUGACCCGAGAUGGUGGGUUUUUAAUCAGAUGGAUAUCACUCACCGGGACUGCUGUGGAAUAACGCGCAGUGAGGCAAAAGUCACACAUCCCCAUGUUAUGCUGGGACUGGGCAAACCCCAGCUGCUGUCUUCCUCCCGUGAGACCAGCUGAAGGCUAGCAAUACUACAGCAAACCCCCGAGACUCAGCAGAGGGAGGAAAAAAGCCAUGAAGUCCCAGAAAGCUGCACCAGGGCACUGAGUGCUGUGCUUCCCAAGCCAGGUUUGCAGUAUUUAUAGCCACCUGUAGAUGGAGAUGUGCUCCGUGCCACGCAGUGGUGGUGCUGGAAUCCUGCUCCCCAUCACCUGGACAAACUGCAUUUCAGGAUCCACUUCAUUUUCCUUGAGAUAAACUUGACAUUCACUCGUGUCUGAAGCAGCACAUCUCGGCCUUGUCUCGGUUAGGCCUCGAUCUGCGGGCUCAACCCCAGGAGCGCCUCGCAGCUGUCGUGCUGCCGGCCUGAGUCCGUUUGCGCCCCUUGUCAUUUCUGUGCCCCUUGGAAACGGCCCCGCCGAGCAGCACGGCCAGCUGCGUGCCGGGAACGGCGAGCCCGGAGGCAGGCAGGGCGCUGCCCGAAGCCCCACCUCGUGUCUGUGGCAUCAUCUGAGCGGUUUGAUCUGCUCGCGUUUCAUCUGCAGUCACGUUUUCCUGCUAAACUCACACCCGAGCACGCCGCAGGGAAAGUCCUAUCCCCAGAAACAAAA
ensembl:lncRNA